UACGGAGGGGGCUAGCGUUGUUCGGAAUUACUGGGCGUAAAGCGCGCGUAGGCGGACCUGCAAGUCGGGGGUGAAAGCCCGAGGCUCAACCUCGGAACUGCCUUCGAUACUGCAGGUCUCGAGUCCGGGAGAGGUGAGUGGAAUUCCUAGUGUAGAGGUGAAAUUCGUAGAUAUUAGGAAGAACACCAGUGGCGAAGGCGGCACACUGGCUCGGUACUGACGCUGAGGCGCGAAAGCGUGGGUAGCAAACAGG
rnacentral:rRNA from 1 species